rnacentral:lncRNA from 1 species
AUUUUGUUUAAAUUCUUUUGAUUGCAGUAGAAAUCAAAUUUAUUUUGCUGGAAGGCGACUCACCCAGUAACGCACAUUAUAUCAGUCUGCUUCCAAGGGAAGGCGAAGCAGCCGAUAUAUAUCCAAGCUGGAGAGUUCUGGAACAGGUAGGGGUUUUGUCCCAGAAGAAGUGGCUUCAAAGAGGAAAAGAAAAAUUGGUUCUACAAAUGUACUUUCUGCCAAAGAUGGUGGAAGAGUGGUCAGAAGUUCUCACUGAGCAGACACAUGCUGUGGGAUAGGAAUGGCAAGUUUGCAUCCUCCAGCCAGAUCCUUACUUCAGGUUGCUUGAGAUAAGUUAGCACGAGGGAAAAUGGACCAUAAACAGCUUACAGGAGGCUGAUGAGGCACAGGGAAAUGAUCUUCAACACAGAUGGCCCUCCUGCUCCAGGAUCUCCAAGGAAAAGAGCUGCAUGUGCGCGUUCAUCCCCUAGAAGAGGAGGGGAUGCAGCCUGCUAAGGGGAAUGGAAACAAGUGUUUUGCCUGUUUUGGAAAAGCGGUGAUAUUGAAGGACACAGUGCUCCAGAAUAACGCCUGCGUGAAGACCAGAGAGACUGUUGGUAUGCACAGCGUCCGGCAGGAGAGGUGCUCCUGCGCCUGCCGCUUGCUUAGUGAAUGCAAUCGCUCGUCUUGAGGGGCUGCGUGCUGCGUCCUUCCCUGCUCUGCUCCGCUCCACCGCUGCACAGAUGGCACCUACGGGGCUGGCAGCAACCUCGGAGAGCACGACGUGAAGGGGUUUGGACGGGUUCAUCUACUCCCUGCGCCUCCCCAGAGGUUCACGGAGCCGAGCCCCGCAGCCGCCCCUGAGGACUGUGCCCCUGGCUGUCACUAGAGGCAAGCGAAAAAGGUAAGAGUGAGAGAGAGCAGCGGCCCCUCGGGUGGGAUGUGUUCGGAGAAGGAAAGGAUGGCCCCUCUCGCCUCCAGGAGAGGAGGGGGGAGCUUGA